UACGGGGGGGGCAAGCGUUGUUCGGAAUUACUGGGCGUAAAGGGCUCGUAGGUGGCCAACUAAGUCAGACGUGAAAUCCCUCAGCUUAACUGGGGAACUGCGUCUGAUACUGGAUGGCUUGAGUUUGGGAGAGGGAUGCGGAAUUCCAGGUGUAGCGGUGAAAUGCGUAGAUAUCUGGAGGAACACCGGUGGCGAAGGCGGCACUCUGGGCCGGAACUGACGCUGAGGAGCGAAAGCGUGGGGAGCGAACAGG
rnacentral:rRNA from 1 species